rnacentral:rRNA from 1 species
GACGGAGGAUGCAAGUGUUAUCCGGAAUCACUGGGCGUAAAGCGUCUGUAGGUUGUUUAAAAAGUCUGCAGUUAAAGGUUGAAGCUUAACUUCAAAAAUGCCGUAGAAACUUUUAAACUAGAGGAUGGUAGGGGUAGAGGGAAUUUCCAGUGGAGCGGUAGAAAUGUGUAGAUAUUGGAAAGAACACCAAGCGGAGAAGACUCUGCU